GACAGAGGGUGCAAACGUUGUUCGGAAUUACUGGGCGUAAAGCGCGUGUAGGCUGCUCUGCAAGUCGGAUGUGAAAGCCCUGGGCUCAACCUAGGAAGUGCACUCGAAACUGCAGAGCUUGAGUCUCGGAGAGGAUCGCGGAAUUCUCGGUGUAGAGGUGAAAUUCGUAGAUAUCGAGAGGAACACCGGUGGCGAAGGCGGCCAACUGGACAGAUACUGACGCUGAGACACGAAAGCGUGGGGAGCAAACAGG
rnacentral:rRNA from 1 species